rnacentral:piRNA from 1 species
UCGGCGAGUGGCUGAAUUUGA